rnacentral:rRNA from 1 species
UGGGGAAUAUUGCACAAUGGGGGAAACCCUGAUGCAGCGACGCCGCGUGAGCGAAGAAGGUUUUCGAAUCCUAAAGCUCUGUCCUAUGGGAAGAUAAUGACGGUACCAUAGGAGGAAGCCCCGGCUAACUACGUGCCAGCAGCCGCGGUAAUACGUAGGGGGCAAGCGUUGUCCGGAAUCACUGGGCGUAAAGGGUUCGCAGGCGGAAAUGCAAGUCAGUUGUGAAAGGCAGAGGCUCAACCUCUGUAAGCAAUUGAAACUGUAUUUCUUGAGAUGUGGAGAGGCAAGUGGAAUUCCUAGUGUAGCGGUGAAAUGCGUAGAUAUUAGGAAGAAUACCGGUGGCGAAGGCGACUUGCUGGACACAAACUGACGCUGAGGAACGAAAGCGUGGGUAGCAAACAGG